AACCAGACCCUAACUCUAGCUCCAGCCCCGUCCGCCCUCGUCUCUCGUGACCCUCCAGCCUCUCCCGCCGCCAGCCUCCAUCCUUCCCUUCCCUCACCAGAUCUCCCGUCUGGAUUUUCGUGGUUCGAUGGAUUCCCCGAUUACUCGCCGUCGCUGCUUACUCUGUUGUGGUUUUCAAGGGAGGAGUUCGUGGACAGCUUGGAGCAGCCAAAAUUGGACACUCUAGGAUUCCUCUGUCCGUCCAUGGCCGUUGAGCUGCAUUGCUUCCGACGGCGUUGCCAGUGCCCCGUCGCCAUCGACCCCGAGGCCACCCCUGUUCCCGACGGCGCUCCUCUCUGCCUUGCUCCCUUAUACAUGAAGGCUGCUUGCCGGUGUCGUCUUUCGCCUGUACUGGUCGGCGGCAUCUGCUUCUCCGGCACCAAGAAGUCCAUGUCCCCUUGGUUCAGCACGAGAUCUCUAGUCCGGCAGCCUCUACUAGACACCACGGGUAACUAAUCCAGUUCCCUAAUCUUUUUUUCCAUGGACGCAUGAUUCAGAGUGUACUCCUUGCUGCAGGUGCUUUUGGAUGAGGGACACACCCACGUUCAGUAGUCUAAAUAGGUGCUUUUGGACGAGGGACACACCCACGUACAAUAGGUUUGAUUGCAUCUCCAAAAUAAAAUAUUGAUCAGGUGCAUGUUCAGGAGGUCGGCGUACACACAUAUUUAGGCCAAUCGAGCGUGCCAGAAGAAAUCAAUCUUUUUACCUGCAUAUACCAUCAUUUUCUUCUUGCAGGCGGCAAUGGCAGGAGCAUAUUGUGCAGAGGAAGAGGAUGAACCUUAAUGUGUUGAACCUUAUAUACUAGAACCUUGCAGGUGUUUUUGCAGAUGUAUUCUAUUGUGCACGUGUAAAAUUAUUCUGAUGUGCUCUUGUUAGGCGUUGAACCUUAAUGCGUGGAGUCGGUGGAUGAUGUAUUGUAUUUGAUGUGAUA